rnacentral:rRNA from 1 species
CCUACGGGUGGCUGCAGUGAGGAAUAUUGGUCAAUGGGCGUAAGCCUGAACCAGCCAAGUCGCGUGAGGGAUGAAGGUUCUAUGGAUCGUAAACUUCUUUUAUAAGGGAAUAAAGUGCGGGACGUGUCCCGUUUUGUAUGUACCUUAUGAAUAAGGAUCGGCUAACUACGUGCCAGCAGCCGCGGUCAUACGUAGGAUCCGAGCAUUAUCCGGAGUGACUGGGUGUAAAGAGUUGCGUAGGUGGCAUAAUAAGUAGCUAGGGAAAUCGGGUGGCUCAACCAAUCAGACUAUUAGCUAAACUGUUUAGCUCGAGACCGUUAAGGGUAACUGGAAUUUCUAGUGUAGGGGUGAAAUCCGUAGAUAUUAGAAGGAACACCAAUAGCGUAGGCAGGUUACUGGGACGGUUCUGACACUAAGGCACGAAAGCGUAGGGAGCGAACGGGAUUAGAUACCCGAGUAGUC